rnacentral:rRNA from 1 species
UACGUAGGGCGCAAGCGUUGUCCGGAAUUAUUGGGCGUAAAGAGCUCGUAGGCGGCUUGUCACGUCGGAUGUGAAAGCCCGGGGCUUAACCCCGGGUCUGCAUUCGAUACGGGCUAGCUAGAGUGUGGUAGGGGAGAUCGGAAUUCCUGGUGUAGCGGUGAAAUGCGCAGAUAUCAGGAGGAACACCGGUGGCGAAGGCGGAUCUCUGGGCCAACACUGACGCUCAUGCACGAAAGCGUGGGGAGCAAACAGG